UACAGAGGGUGCAAACGUUGCUCGGAAUCAUUGGGCGUAAAGCGCACGUAGGCGGCUCGUUAAGUCGGGUGUGAAAGCCCCGGGCUCAACCCGGGAAGUGCACUCGAUACUGGCGAGCUAGAGUAUGGAAGAGGGUCGCGGAAUUCCCGGUGUAGAGGUGAAAUUCGUAGAUAUCGGGAGGAACACCAGUGGCGAAGGCGGCGACCUGGGCCAAUACUGACGCCGAGGUGCGAAAGCGUGGGGAGCAAACAGG
rnacentral:rRNA from 1 species